rnacentral:rRNA from 1 species
GUUGGCUGUACCAAAAGUCGGUCGCUUAACCUUCGGGAGGGCGCCGACCACGGUGUGGUCAAUGACUGGGGUGAAGUCGUAACAAGGUWGCYGUAGGUGAACCUGCAGAAGGAUCA